rnacentral:rRNA from 1 species
GAUGAACGCUGGCGGCGUGCCUAAUACAUGCAAGUCGAGCGAACAGACGAGGAUCUUGCUCCUCUGACGUUAGCGGCGGACGUGAGAGUAACACGUGUAUCACCUACCUAUAAGACUGGGAUAACUUCGGGAAACCGGAGCUAAUACCGGAUAAUAUCUUGCACCGCAUGGUUCAAUAGUGAAAGACGGUUUUGCUGUCUCUUAUAGCUGCAUCCCGGCCGCAUUAGCUAGUUGUUAGGGUAACGGCUUACCACGGCAACGAUGCGUAGACGACCUGAGAGGGGGAUAGGCCGCAUGGGAGGUGAGACAGGGUCAAGGGGACUGAGGGAGGGAGCAGUAGGGAAUGUGACGCAAUGGGCGAAAGCAUGACAGAGCAACGCCGCGUGAGUGAUGGAGGUCUUGGGAGCGUAAAAAUCGGUUAUUAGGGAAGAACAAAUGUGGAAGUAACCAUGCAGGGAUUGACGGUAACGGAUCAGAAAGCAACGGCUAACUACGUG